rnacentral:rRNA from 1 species
AACGAACGCUGGCGGCAUGCCUAACACAUGCAAGUCGAACGAGACCUUCGGGCUUGGUGGCGCACGGGUGCGUAACGCGGGGGAACCUGCCCUUAGGUUCGGAAUAACUCCCCGAAAGGGGUGCUAAUACCGGAUAAUGUCUUCGGACCAAAGGUUUAUCGCCUUUGGAUGGCCCCGCGUUGGGUUAGCUAGUGGGUAGGGUAAAAGCCUAGCAAGGCGACGUUCCAGAGCUGGUCUGAGCGGAUGAUCAGCCACACUGGGACUGAGGCACGGCCCAGUCUCCUACGGGAGGCAGCAGUGGGGAGUAUUGGGCGCGGGGCCCAAGCGUGAUCCCGCCGUGCCGCGUAAGUGAUGAAGGCCUUAGGAUUGUAAAGCUCUUUUCCCCGGGAUGAUAAUGACGGUACCGGGAGAAUAAGCUCCGGCUAACUCCGUG